rnacentral:rRNA from 1 species
CGAGGCUUGCCAUCGGGGCAAAGCCGCGAACGGGUGAGUAACACGUGGGUAACCUGCCCUGUUGAUUGGGACAACCCCGGGAAACCGGGGCUAAUACCAAAUGUGCUGCAUCGGCAUCAGUUGAUGUAGGAAAGGAGGCUUCGGCUUCCGCAACGGGAUGGGCCCGCGGCCCAUUAGCUUGUUGGUGGGGUAAUGGCCUACCAAGGCUUCGAUGGGUAGCUGGUCUGAGAGGACGAUCAGCCACACUGGGACUGAGACACGGCCCAGACUCCUACGGGAGGCAGCAGUGGGGAAUCUUGCGCAAUGCGCGAAAGCGUGACGCAGCAACGCCGCGUGAGGGAAGACGGCCUUCGGGUUGUAAACCUCUUUCAGUUGGGACGAAGCCACGACGGUUAAUACCCGUUUGUGGUGACGGUACCUUCAGAAGAAGCCCCGGCUAACUACGUGCCAGCAGCCGCGGUAAUACGUAGGGGGCAAGCGUUGUCCGGAAUCAUUGGGCGUAAAGCGCGUGUAGGCGGCUUGGUAAGUCCGCUCUGAAAGCCCGGGGCUCAACCNCGGGAGGCGGGUGGAAUACUGUCAAGCUCGANUCCGGAAGAGGCGAGUGGAAUUCCUGGUGUACCGGUGAAAUGCGCAGAUAUCAGGAGGNACACCAAUGGG